rnacentral:rRNA from 1 species
UACGUAGGGGGCUAGCGUUGUCCGGAAUCAUUGGGCGUAAAGAGCGUGUAGGCGGCCUGCUAAGUCGAACGUGAAAUCCCUGGGCUCAACCCAGGAACUGCGUCCGAUACUGGUUGGCUUGAAUCCGGGAGAGGGAUGUGGAAUUCCUGGUGUAGCGGUGAAAUGCGCAGAUAUCAGGAAGAACACCAAUGGCGAAAGCAGCUCUCUGGGACGGUACUGACGCUGAGACGCGAAAGCGUGGGGAGCGAACAGG